CCCGUAUGGGUUGUAAACUGCUUUUCUACUCCAAGAAACCUGAUUACGUGUAAUCAGUUGCCGGUAGAGUAGGAAUAAGCAUCGGCUAACUCCGUGCCAGCAGCCGCGGUAAUACGGAGGAUGCAAGCGUUAUCCGGAUUCAUUGGGUUUAAAGGGUGCGCAGGUGGGCUUUUAAGUCAGUGGUGAAAUGCUGCCGCUUAACGGUAGAAUUGCCAUUGAUACUGAGAGUCUUGAGUAUGGUUGAGGUAGGCGGAAUGUGUUGUGUAGCGGUGAAAUGCAUAGAUAUGACACAGAACGCCGAUUGCGAAGGCAGCUUACUAAGCCAUUACUGACGCUGAGGCACGAAAGCGUGGGGAGCGAACAGGAUUAGAUACCCUGGUAGUCCACGCUGUAAACGAUGUUCACUCGCUGUUUGCGAUACACAGCAAGCGGCUGAGCGAAAGCAUUAAGUGAACCACCUGGGGAGUACGAUCGCAAGGUUG
rnacentral:rRNA from 1 species